ensembl:snoRNA
GCGAUUCUUCAUCAAAGCCAGCAGUUUUCUGAAGCUGUUGGUUUCAAGCAGAAGCCUAAAGCAUCUUUCUAUGGUCUGUAGGCCAUUUCAGACCUUUAGAAAUGUAAUGGUCAAUUUAGAAACAAGU